rnacentral:rRNA from 1 species
AACGGAUGCGAUCAUACCAGCACUAAUGCACCGGAUCCCAUCAGAACUCCGCAAUUAAGCGUGCUUGGGCGAGAGUAGUACUAGGAUGGGUGACCUCCCGUGAAGUCCUCGUGUGUUGCAUCCCUCUU